GCUCUGUAAUUUGCAAACCACCAUAACUGACUGGAGUAUGUGCUAUGGCAGCAGUCAUCUUUCAGCAUUCAUAUGUGACUGUCAGGAAGACCUCUAGGAUGUGAUCUGAGGAAGGCAAUGUGUGCCAGUUACUACAACUGCAAAUACGGGGACUGCAAUUCCUCCAUUAGAACUGCCUGGGAACAGCAAACAAUGGGG